rnacentral:SRP_RNA from 1 species
GCCGGGUGUGGUGGCUCACGCCUGUAAUCCCAGCACUUUGGGAGGCCGAGGUGGGCGGAUCACCUGAGGUCAGGAGUUCAAGACCAGCCUGGCCAACAUGGUGAAACUCCAUCUCUA